CCUACGGGGCGCAGCAGUGAGGAAUAUUGGUCAAUGGGCGCGAGCCUGAACCAGCCAAGUAGCGUGAAGGAUGACUGCCCUACGGGUUGUAAACUUCUUUUAUAAAGGAAUAAAGUGAGGCACGUGUGCCUUUUUGUAUGUACUUUAUGAAUAAGGAUCGGCUAACUCCGUGCCAGCAGCCGCGGUAAUACGGAGGAUCCGAGCGUUAUCCGGAUUUAUUGGGUUUAAAGGGAGCGUAGAUGGGUUGUUAAGUCAGUUGUGAAAGUUUGCGGCUCAACCGUAAAAUUGCAAUUGAUACUGGUAGUGGGGAGUGAAGGAGAGGGAGGGGGAUUUGGUGGGGGAGGGGGGAAAUGCUAAGAAAUAAGGAAGAACUCC
rnacentral:rRNA from 1 species